rnacentral:rRNA from 1 species
CCUGAACGCUGGCGGCGUGGCUAAGACAUGCAAGUCGCACGGAGGCCGCAAGGCUUUAGUGGCGAACGGGUGAGUAAUGUAUCGCUAACGUACCCUUUAGUCCGGGAUAGCCAGGGGAAACGUCUGGGUAAUACCGGGUGGAAAUUCUUCUCUCGCAUGGGAGGAGACUCAAAGGAAGCAAUCCGCUGAAGGAGCGGGCGAUAUCGUAUCAGCUAGUUGGUGAGGUAACGGCUCACCAAGG